GCCCGGCUAGCUCAAUUGGCAGAGCGUGUGACUUUUAAGAACCUUCUUAAUCACAAGGUUCGGGGUUCGACCCCCCGGUCGGGCA
rnacentral:tRNA from 1 species